UCCCUGGAGGACUAGUGAUUAGGGCACGGCGCUCUCACCGCUGCGGCCCAGGUUUGAUUCCCAGUCAGGUAA